ensembl:lncRNA
GGACUAUAAAGAAAGCUGAGUGCUGAAGAACUGAUGCUUUUGAACUGUGGUGUUGGAGAAGACUCUUGAGAGUCUAUUGGACUGCAAGGCGAUCAAGCCAGUCAAUCCUAAAGGAAAUCAACCCUGAAUAUUCACUGGAAGGACUGAUGCUGAAGCUGAAGCUCCAAUACUUUGGCCACCUUAUGCGAAAAACUGACUCAUUGGAAAAGACCCUGAUUCUGGGAAAGAUUGAGGGCAGGAGGAGAAGGGGAUGACAGAGGAUGAGAUGGCUGGAUGGCAUCACCGACUCAAUGGACAUGAGUUUGAGUAAACUCCGGGAGUUGGUGAUGGACAGGGAAGCCUGGCGUGCUACAGUCCAUAGGGUCACAAAGAGUAGGACAUGAGUGAGCAACUGAACUGAACUGAAAGCCCCCGCCCUAAUGACCCAUUUCAACCUUAAUUACUUCCUUAAAGGCCCCAUCUCCAAAUAGAGUCACUGAUAGGGGAGUGGUAGGAAGUAGGGAUUCAAUUUAGGAAUUUAAGAGUGGGACACAAUUCAACCUGUAACAGGGGGAUUCCUCUGAAUUGUCACUCAGAGGGAGAGAGAAAGGAGCCAGCGAGGCACAGAAGAUAGACAGUCACGCGCUUUCAAGACCCCGUAGGCUUGAACAACGAAGGAUCAGCUGCAAGUGUGUGGACACAAGGUCUGAGCCAUACACACCGCCCCCCACCAACCCCUGGUACACAAGACCUCAGGACAUGCCAGGGACAAGGAAGGGCCUGAGCGAUGACUGCAACGGAAUCACCCACCACCCAGAACCAUGGAAUCUUGCAGCAGAUUCAACCCGUUUUAGAAACAUGAACUAGCUAUUGCACACACCUGUGUUUGGAGUAAAGUUCACACCUGACACUGACAUUACUAGCUGGGGGCCGGGGUAUAAUCCAUGGGGAGUAGAGUGAGAAGCAAGGUCUCAGGGGCAGGUCCAAGCCUGGGAGAGAGAGAUCUGGAGGAUUUCCAGCAAGGCUGGACCACAAGAAUUCGGACCAGUCAAAAUUCAUGACACAGGAUUUGUAAUAAGCAAUAGAGUAAAUGCUGACUCCUGCGGGACAAUCAAGCCCAGUAACCCAGUAACUCCUGCGGGACAAUCAAGCCCAGUAACUGAGUCCGGCUUAGCUGCCCUCUUUGACUUAGUGAAGGGAAUAUUAGUUUCCUGAUAUAAAAAAUUAUCACAAACUUGACGACUGAAAACAACAGGAAUUCUUUCACAGUUCUGGAGGCCAGAACUCCAAAAUGAAGGGUCACCUGAUUUUGUUGACAAAAAAAGGGUGUUGACAGGGCCACCCUCCCUCCAAACGCUCCUGGGAGAAUCUGUUCUUUGCCUCGUCCAGCCCAUGGAGGCUGCAAGUGUUCCGUGCCUUGAGGCUGCAUCACUCCAGUCUCAGCCUCCAUCUUCACACCACCUCCUCCUCCUCAGUGUGUCUCUCAAAACUCUCCCUGCCUCCCUCUUGUAAGGAUGUAUGUGACUGCAUCGACGGUCCACUGGAUACUUCAGGGAAAAUGCCCCCUCUCCAGAUCUGUAGCUGAAUCACAGUGUCUGCAAAAUGAGGUCCAUUCACAAGUUUAAGAGCUUUGACACGGAUAUCUGUUGCAAGGUCAUUUUCAGCCCACUACAGGAGGGUCGAGACC